AUUGGUUUUGGUUGAUAGUAACUUCUAAAUAUUUAGAGUCACCUUUGUUAGACAUUGGUGACCUUUGAAAACUUAUUUUGGUUCUUUUAUUUAGUGUUUAGAGCAUAAAUUAUGUAAAUCUUAUAAGAAAAAGGAUUGAAGAAGGGUUUUGGUAGCAAAGGGAGUAAUAAGGUACCAAUAUAGAUGAAUGGAGAUGAAUGAUGAAAAUCUCC
rnacentral:lncRNA from 1 species